UGACUUUGGUUUAAUGUUAGAAGAAAAUCUAACUCUAGGCUCUCUAAAUGAGUAAGAGAAAUUAGAGUUUAAAUUAUGUUCAAGAAAUAAUUUUAGGUAAUUGUAAUUGUAAGUAUUCAUGUUAGAUUCCAAUCAGCAUCUGACUUCAUCUAAAUAGAUUGGAAGUCAUAUUACAGCAAGACUACAUGAAAAUCAUCUCAGGCAGAUGAAAAUCAUUUCUGUUUUAUAACUCUCUUGAUGAGAUUGUUCAGUCUGUCUCUGUAGCCAAUACAAGUGUUUAUGUUCAAUAUAUAUUCUACACAUUUCCUCUAGGUGGUGCACAAGGCACAGUUAUGUUGGAAAAUCCAUAGACAAUCCCUAAAGCCUUUUUAUAUUUUAUUCUGCAUCUGAAUGAAACCUAAUCUCUUCUACUGUAAUCUACUAUAAUUUAAUAAUUGAGAUGACAUUAUGUCAUAUUUUUGAGGUACUAGCAUGUAUACAAUAUUUAUACAAUAUGUAUACAAUAUUUUCUUGGAGUAGAGUAAAAUGCAGGUAUAAUUUUUCAUGGUAUUACUGUAAAAUUAAUUUUUUAGCCCUCAAUGAAGAUAUUUUGAGAUAUCAUAUCCAUUUCUUUCAGUUAUUUCAAGUGAAUGAUAAAUACCCAAAUAUCAAGAUCAUCAUCAACUGUAAGUGUAGAAUGAAAAACAGGUCUACAUUCAAGGACUUCAGAUUAGCUUUUGAAGGUGUGAACAGCUGCUGUGACUUCAUAUACACUAAACAAUUUCUCUCUCUUCCCUAACAUCCAUGAAAGGUUCCUGAAGUCGGAAUGCAGAGUACAAACGUUUCUACUGUGAACCUUUUGGAACACAUGCGCAAGAGUUUCUCCAGUGUAUCUACAAGAAUUUCUCUGGGAGUGGAAAUUCUAGUGCACGUUCUGCCUUUACAAAGAAUUCUCAGGAAAGAAAGUUAAGUGGUUUCUACCUUCAAAAUGAGCUUUGUGUGUCCGUUCUGUUUUAUUCCUGCCAUUCAUUCCAUCAGCUUACACUUGAACUGUGCCCUCCACCUCCUAUUAAAGGAUGAUCCUAUCUGAAUGAGAGCAGAAUGGACAGCUGUGGAGCAUCCAUAUUAUGACCAUAAAGUCAUCCUGAGGGAAGGAUCAACAAGGAUGCAGCAGAGACUUCAGCCCCGACGUUCUUGAGCUGCUGAACAAAUACCACCAAACAUUUAUCUCUGGACAUCUCAUGAUAGAGCAUCGCAGAAUGCUAACAACCACCAUCUUCAUCCUUAUCACCAAAGAGCGUAUUUGGAUAAGAGAAGCUAUAACCAAGGAAAAUAUAAAAGACCAGCAUGGAAUUGUGUGGAAGACAUCAAGAAUCUUGAAGAAAGUACGCAUGACAAACAAAGUGGGGAAUGUUUUUAAGUUAUAUUCUGGCAACUGAAAAGGAGUCUGCGGGAAUUAAACAGAAAAGUCUAUUUAAAAGGAUAACGAGGAGCUCAUGGGACUAUUGGAGAUCCGAAGAACCAGAUUCAAGGUAAAUGUCCAGAAACAAUGCCCAAAACAUGCUGUAGAAUUGUCUGAAGGGCAAGUGAUGCUGCUGCUACAUAUUAGAAUUUUCCCUGCUGCCAUUUUGCACCAGGAACACACAUCACAGUCACCUUGUGGCUAAAGCUGGAUACGCUCCCAUCUCCACCCUCACUAGAAAAUGGAUUCUGUGUGCUUCCUCACAUUGCUCACUAAGGUCUCCUACUAGAAUGUUUGAGUUUAGGAUUGCUCCUAACUGUGGGUAUAUUUUCUACUUUGGCAAGGCAGGGCUUAAAUGGUGGGAAAUUCCUCAAACAAAGGAAGGGUGUUCAAAACAUGUCAACUGUCUUAUCACUCUCCCUAGAGUCCUCCUUUUGCAAUUCAAGUUGUAUAGGCAGCAUCAAUUUGAUUCCACUUCAGUGAGAAUUUAUUCAGUUCUAUUGCAUAGUCAAGAUAUAAACAAGAUGAAGAUAAAUUGGUGUAGAAGGGCUUACAGUUUGUUAGGAAAAGUUUUGCAUGGACUAUUUUAAUAUAGUCUUGUAAAAUGCAAUGGAUUGACAUAUAUA